UACGGAGGGGGCGAGCGUUGUUCGGAGUUACUGGGCGUAAAGCGCACGUAGGCGGUGCGGUAAGUCAGGGGUUAAAGGCUGCAGCUCAACUGCAGUAAGGCCUUUGAUACUAUCGUGCUAGAGUGUCAGAGAGGAUGGCGGAAUUCCCGGUGUAGCGGUGAAAUGCGUAGAUAUCGGGAGGAAGGUCGGUGGCGAAGGCGGCCUCCUGGGCCUGCACUGACGCUGAGGCUCGAAAGCGUGGGGAGCAAACAGG
rnacentral:rRNA from 1 species